GAUCCAGCCAUGCCGCGUGUGUGAAGAAGGUCUUCGGAUUGUAAAGCACUUUAAGUNNNAGGAAGGGUUGUAGAUUAAUACUCUGCAAUUUUGACGUUACCGACAGAAUAAGCACCGGCUAACUCUGUGCCAGCAG
rnacentral:rRNA from 1 species